rnacentral:rRNA from 1 species
AUACGUAGGGGGCGAGCGUUGUCCGGAAUGAUUGGGCCUAAAGGGCGCGUAGGCGGCCCGGUAAGUCUGGAGUGAAAGUCCUGUUUUUAAGAUGGGAAUUGCUUUGGAUACCGUCGGGCUUGAGUGCAGGAGAGGUAAGUGGAAUUCCCAGUGUAGCGGUGAAAUGCGUAGAGAUUGGGAGGAACACCAGUGGCGAAGGCGACUUACUGGACUGUAACUGACGCUGAGGCGCGAAAGUGUGGGGAGCAAACAGGAUUAGAUACCCUGGUAGUCCACACUGUAAACGAUGAAUGCUAGGUGUAGGGGGUAUCGACCCCUUCUGUGCCGCAGUCAACACAAUAAGCAUUCCGCCUGGGGAGUACGGCCGCAAGGUUGAAACUCAAAUGAAUUGACGGGG